CCUCAACUAUCUACAGAUGGGAGUGACUCUCACGACUCUCUCGUGUACUUACUGAGUGGAGCUUUGGCAAUUACCACCAUCUUGGUCGUCUUACUGGCUUUCUCAGUGUACAUGAUGAACAAGAGAAAAAGCUGCCAAUGUACAGAGUGUGGAAGAGUCCCAGCUUCCACCGCAACAAAUGAGGGCUACCAAGAUGCAGACGACCUCCAUUACGCUGCUUUAAGGGAUCACAAAGCCAACAGAUCAAGAAAACAGAGAGACGACACCAAGAG